rnacentral:lncRNA from 1 species
UACUUUCAAACACUUGAUCACGAACACCACCACUGUCGGUCCUUAACAGAUUCAAUAAACAGAUGGGGCGAUCAGCCGACCACCAAAAGAGUUAACCAAAACCCUGCCCCGUCCAUCGUCCUUAUAGUUGUAAACAGAAAGAGAACAACCAACUCCUAUAACUCGCGAGUGACAGGAAAUCACUCGACUUUUACCAAGUCCUAUUAAGCAUUGCAACUACUCGACCCAAC